rnacentral:rRNA from 1 species
GACAGAGGGUGCUAGCGUUGUUCGGAAUUAUUGGGCGUAAAGGGCGCGUAGGCGGUGCGGUAAGUCUGCAGUGAAAUCUCUGGGCUCAACUCAGAGUCUGCUGUAGAAACUGCCGUGCUUGAGUGUGGGAGAGGUGAGUGGAAUUCCCGGUGUAGCAGUGAAAUGCGUAGAGAUCGGGAGGAACACCAGUGGCGAAGGCGGCUACCUGGACCAGCACUGACACUGAAGCACGAAAGCGUGGGGAGCAAACAGG